rnacentral:rRNA from 1 species
AUGAACGCUAGCUACAGGCUUAACACAUGCAAGUCGAGGGGCAGCAUUUUAGUUUGCUUGCAAACUAAAGAUGGCGACCGGCGCACGGGUGAGUAACACGUAUCCAACCUGCCGAUAACUCGGGGAUAGCCUUUCGAAAGAAAGAUUAAUAUCCGAUAGUAUAUUAAAACCGCAUGGUUUUACUAUUAAAGAAUUUCGGUUAUCGAUGGGGAUGCGUUCCAUUAGUUUGUUGGCGGGGUAACGGCCCACCAAGACUACGAUGGAUAGGGGUUCUGAGAGGAAGGUCCCCCACAUUGGAACUGAGACACGGUCCAAACUCCUACGGGAGGCAGCAGUGAGGAAUAUUGGUCAAUGGACGAGAGUCUGAACCAGCCAAGUAGCGUGAAGGAUGACUGCCCUAUGGGUUGUAAACUUCUUUUAUAUGGGAAUAAAGUAUUCCACGUGUGGGAUUUUGUAUGUACCAUAUGAAUAAGGAUCGGCUAACUCCGUGCCAGCAGCCGCGGUAAUACGGAGGAUCCGAGCGUUAUCCGGAUUUAUUGGGUUUAAAGGGAGCGUAGGUGGAUUGUUAAGUCAGUUGUGAAAGUUUGCGGCUCAACCGUAAAAUUGCAGUUGAAACUGGCAGUCUUGAGUACAGUAGAGGUGGGCGGAAUUCGUGGUGUAGCGGUGAAAUGCUUAGAUAUCACGAAGAACUCCGAUUGCGAAGGCAGCUCACUAGACUGCAACUGACACUGAUGCUCGAAAGUGUGGGUAUCAAACAGGAUUAGAUACCCUGGUAGUCCACACAGUAAACGAUGAAUACUCGCUGUUUGCGAUAUACAGUAAGCGGCCAAGCGAAAGCAUUAAGUAUUCCACCUGGGGAGUACGCCGGCAACGGUGAAACUCAAAGGAAUUGACGGGGACCCGCACAAGCGGAGGAACAUGUGGUUUAAUUCGAUGAUACGCGAGGAACCUUACCCGGGCUUAAAUUGCAUUUGAAUAAUCUGGAAACAGGUUAGCCGCAAGGCAAAUGUGAAGGUGCUGCAUGGUUGUCGUCAGCUCGUGCCGUGAGGUGUCGGCUUAAGUGCCAUAACGAGCGCAACCCUUAUCUUUAGUUACUAACAGGUUAUGCUGAGGACUCUAGAGAGACUGCCGUCGUAAGAUGUGAGGAAGGUGGGGAUGACGUCAAAUCAGCACGGCCCUUACGUCCGGGGCUACACACGUGUUACAAUGGGGGGUACAGAAGGCAGCUACCUGGCGACAGGAUGCUAAUCCCAAAAACCUCUCUCAGUUCGGAUCGAAGUCUGCAACCCGACUUCGUGAAGCUGGAUUCGCUAGUAAUCGCGCAUCAGCCAUGGCGCGGUGAAUACGUUCCCGGGCCUUGUACACACCGCCCGUCAAGCCAUGAAAGCCGGGGGUACCUGAAGUACGUAGCCGCAAGGAGCGUCCUAGGGUAAAACUGGUAAUUGGGGCU